rnacentral:lncRNA from 1 species
UCCCAUUCCCAAUCUCUCCCAUCCACCUAUUCAUUGCCUUUGGUAACCACCUUUCUGCUGUUUGUUUCUAGUAUGGAGACCCUGCCAUUUGCGACAACAUGGAUGUAUCUGCAGGACAUUAAGACAAGUGCAAUAAGCAAGACACGGAAAGAAAAUAUAGCAUGGUCUCUCUUAUAUGUGGAAUUUUAAAAAUUAACUCUGAAUACUUUGGAUUAAACUGAUGCAGCAGUCAUCCAAGAGAUGUCCACAUAUGUACUCCUGUUAAUGUUAGUUCCUUUCAGCCAAGCCAUCAGAGGUUCUCCCUGGAUCUCAUUUUUGGGCUCUGAAAAAUCAAAUCUGUCCAUGGGAGUGCUAGCAUACUGUCUGUUAGAUUAAAUGAAGCUGUAAGCAUCUUUGAAGUACAAAUGAUACUUGGAAAGUAAAUGAAGCUGGG